rnacentral:rRNA from 1 species
GACGAACGCUGACGGUGUGCUUUAGACAUGCAAGUCGAACGCGAAAGCCCUUCGGGUGAGUAGAGUGGCGAACGGGUGAGUAACACGUGGGCAAUCUGCCCCUCGCAGGGGGACAACCGGAGGAAACUCCGGCUAAUACCCCGUACGCUUGUAGGAUCGCAUGAUCAUACAAGGAAAGGUAGCUUCGGCCAUCCGGCGAGGGAUGAGCCCGCGGUGCAUUAGCUAGUUGGUGGGGUAACGGCCCACCAAGGCGACGAUGCAUAGCUGGUCUGAGAGGAUGAUCAGCCACACUGGGACUGAGACACGGCCCAGACUCCUACGGGAGGCAGCAGUCGGGAAUCUUGCGCAAUGGGCGAAAGCCUGACGCAGCAACACCGUGUGAGCGACGAAGGCC